AGAUUGAUCCUGGCUUAGGACGAGCGCUGGCGGCAUGCCUAACACAUGCAAGUCGAACGGACAUAACCAAGUUAUAGCGAUAUAAUGCGGGUAUGUUAGUGGCGAACGGGUGAGUAACACGUGAGCAACCUGGCCCUGUACAACGGGAUAACAGUUGGAAACGACUGCUAAUACGGUAUAAGACCACACUGCGGCAUCGCAGAGGGGUAAAAGUGAAUUAGCGGUACAGGAUGGGCUCGCGUCCAAUUAGCUAGUUGGUGAGGUAACGGCUCACAAAGGCGACGAUUGGUAGCCGACCUGAGAGGGUGAUCGGCCACACUGGAACUGAGACACGGUCCAGACUCCUACGGGAGGCAGCAGUGGGGAAUAUUGGGCAAUGGAGGAAAAACCUCUUACCCAGCAAUGCCGCGUGAAGGAAGAAGGUCUUCGGAUUGUAAACUUCUUUUAUUGGGGACGAAUAAAUGACGGUACCCGAUGAAUAAGCCCCGGCUAACUAUGUGCCAGCAGCUGC
rnacentral:rRNA from 1 species